rnacentral:lncRNA from 10 species
AAUUAGCCAGGUGUGGCGCUGUGUGCCUGUAAUCUCAGCUACUGGAGAGGCUGAGUCAGGAGGAUCACUUGAGCCUGGGAUAUGGAGGCUGCAGUGAGCUAUGAUCACAUUACUGCACUCCAGCCUGGGCAACAGAGCGAGACCCUGUCUGAAAAAAGGAAAAAAGAAAAAGUCUACACCUUUUGUUAUUCCUAGCUGAGUAAGUAGUACCACAGCUGUGUCAUGAAGAAUUGGCAAGUCAAGUCCCAGAUCCUAAUGUUGAAAUAAAUGCUGGUAAGAUAAGCUAGGCUGAAACGCAGUUAGAGCCAUGAAAUUCCUGAGAGGACCAUGUUCUGUCCCAACAUAUGGGAGCCCCCAUGUAUUUCACACUCUCCUGUCUUCUCCCCACUCCUCAGUCCUCUUCUAAGUCCUCUUAGAUUAAAUAUAAUGGAGAAUUUUUUAAGAUGA